GAAGACUUGGUUUUCUAGAUGAAAUGAAAAAUCUUUUCCACUUACGAAUUCCUUGUCCAUUAUUGGCAGUGAAGGUGAGACUAUCUCCCUGGAGAUCUCUGCUUAUGGCCUUCUGAAGGUGAAGGAAUGUCUGAUACAGCUCUGCAGCUAUAGAUGCUGCAGAAUUUCUGGCUACAUUUAAGAAUGGAAGUAAAAA